rnacentral:rRNA from 1 species
AAACUUUCAACAACGGAUCUCUUGGUUCUCGCAUCGAUGAAGAACGCAGCGAAAUGCGAUAAGUAAUAUGAAUUGCAGAUUUUCGUGAAUCAUCGAAUCUUUGAACGCACAUUGCGCCCCUUGGUAUUCCAUGGGGCAUGCCUGUUUGAGCGUCAUUU